rnacentral:lncRNA from 1 species
UUAGCUAUUUAACUAAUUUAAAUGCUUAUUCAAAAUUUGAUAUUUAUUAAAUAUGUACAGGUAGACGUUUAAAUAAAACAAAAAAAUAUAUGCAGCAGUUACUUAAUUCUCCAAAAAUAAGCAAAAUAGAUCAAUUUUUUCGCAGUCUGGACUAGAAUAAGAAUAAUCUUUGCGCUUCAAAAAAAAUUUAUAGGAUGUGAAAAUUAAAGUGCCCGUCUCGCGAGUUGCUAAAUCUAAAAUUUGGCUAUAUGCUCGGCCAUUGUAUCCAUAUUAAUUAAACGCUAAUUAAUUGUACUGCCGCAUUACGAUCGACAUGUUUUCAGCGAAGUUCGCCUGUCCGCGCCGCAAUUCACGAAUCGCCCUCGUAUACUCGCGCCAAGCGCACGACAGCCGCGGUCGUCGCAAUUAGCAUCAGCCACCCCUCGCGAAAGUGCCGAACUUUCGCACGUCGUUAAUAACUGCCGCGCAAUCUGUAGUUCAAUACAACGCGCGUUCCCGAGCCUUAAUCGGAAACUUCUCGCCAUUUUUCCCGGCCGCGCCACUCUCUCUCCUCGGGACAAUUUAUAUUCUUUUAUCCUUUAAUACGACUCUCUUUUCCCCAAGGGGAAAGCACCCGCACCCCCGUGUCGUCGCCGUGUCGUAGACGGCCCGCUUUCAGUUCAACUUUUUCCAUGUUCCAAUUAGGAAUAUUUCCCAUUGAUUUAAGGUCCUACCGCCGAGGAGGCGGGCAAAUAUUAACGGCUUAACGCCACGAUAAAUUUACAGUCGAUACGCCGCGGGGGUGCAACCUCCGUUCUAGAGACUGGAGAACUACCCCCGCCGUGGGAGGGAAGGAGGGGGGAGGGAAGGGGCAAUGUAAGGAUUGCGCAUUUACGUGCGCCGACACAUUUUACGAGUCGCAAAAACUCUCGUUAACAUUAAUCACUAUGCUUAUCCGAAAUCGAUAUGUCGAGGCCGCGAGGGUGAGCGGCCCGCGCGCGUGUCACCCCGCCUGUUUACGAGUGUUUCUUUCGUUUCCACGACCCUCGCUGGGAAAAAAGAAAAUCAUCUCGGAGGGGGCUGCACAUACAUCUCCGCUGGGAAGCUGAGGUCCAGAGCGAGAGACUUGCGAAUUUUCUGUUUUCGUACGUGACGGAUGAAGAAAGAUCGAUGGGGGAAGGAGAUCGACGGAUAAAGGAGAUCGGAUGCAGGGAAAUUUAUUUGGAUAUACGGAUUUGAUAACCUGGUCAUCACCGGCAUUUCCUUCCUUCCGCGCGGCGUCUCAUCUCCACGUAUACACAUCUCGGGAGGGCGGCCUCGGUAAGUGCGACCUAAUUUUACGGAACAUCGGCUCUUAUUAAUGACUGCGACAAAAAGGCGCAGGGCAGGUGAAGGAAGAGAGCUAUAGCUCGGCGGCUAUCGGUGAAGAAGUCAUUUCGCGCGGCGGACACCGGGCCCCGGGCGCCAUUGUGCGCCUUGCGACUCGUCACACGCCGAUGAUUGCAUUAUAUUAGGCGUGCAGAGUCGAUCGCUCGCCCGUGGAUAAUCCGCAUCGCAUCGCGCGGCGGUCCCGCGCGCGCGGCAGUUAUUCCCUUAUUCAUCCCCCUAAAGCCCCGUAAUAGCCCCGUGCUUUUUGCCGCGCGGGAUCGCCUUUGCAGUUCGGCUGCAUAUGGCCAAUAUUGUUUUAUUUCUGCCCCAGACAUUACAUCGAUCGACUGCGUCGUAAAGAUGUCGAUUUCGCGACGGACCCACGAAUAUGACUUUUCGAGAGUCGAUGGAGGGGGGGGGGAUGUGGAGCGACUUUUUUUCUCGCGACGCGGUUCACCGGGAGAGUUUUUUCUAAUUUCGGCAAUAUUCUUUUAUUCCUUUUCUCAUUUGUGACUAAUAUGAAAUCAACUUUUUUAUAUUACAAACCGUUGGCUAAUUUGAAUAACAGAAGUGGAUUUCCAAUACGAAUCAUAUUUGUCACAAUGAUCAUGUGAAAUAAUGGUUCUAAUCACGACUCGCGCAGCGAUGUUGUUAAUGAGCCAUUUUAGCCCUUCGGGGAACCGUAUCGCAUAAGCGUCAUAAUUCAUCGCCGUGUAGACGACAAACAAUAAGGCAGACUUCGCGAAAACACGCGGUAAUGCCGAACCGAAUAGACGUGUAUAUUGUUACACGAGAUAAUUGCGUUAAUUUGAAAACGAGAAGACUCGUUCGGCGCAAAGAAGCUUCGCAGAAAUUAAUACGAAACCGGCCGCUACGAAGUACGGUGAAUAUAAUAAUAGAAUCACGACGGUCCGAAGUGCGUAUGUACACGCGCUUAACUCACGCACUUGUCGUGCCAGGAAAUGGAUUGACACUAUUGAAGAUAAAGCUUACGUUUGUUUUCAAUAAAUAUUGCAUUUUAAGGGUAAGUUGCUAAAUAUCGGUCGCCUAAAUUGCGCCUCGUCAAUAUUCUAUACUUUUACUUAAUGUAAGCAACGUUUAGUGACAAGCAAAUGAAAUACAUAAGAAAUGAGUGCUAAAGAAAGUUUAUAGAAUAUUUUACAUUCAUUGUACAUCUAAUUAUAAGGAUUAAAUCCAUAUAUUAAUUUUUGUCAAAUUUUUUAACACA